UACGUAGGGGGCAAGCGUUGUCCGGAAUUAUUGGGCGUAAAGAGCGCGUAGGCGGUCCGAUAAGUCGGCUGUGAAAGUCCAGGGCUCAACCCUGGAAAGCCGGCCGAUACUGUCGGACUAGAGUCCGGAAGAGGCAAGUGGAAUUCCCGGUGUAGCGGUGAAAUGCGCAGAUAUCGGGAGGAACACCAAUUGCGAAGGCAGCUUGCUGGGACGGUACUGACGCUGAGGCACGAAAGCGUGGGGAGCAAACAGG
rnacentral:rRNA from 1 species